GGGGUUGUACUGGUUUCGACGGGGGUUUUGAAGUCAGGGUAGCCAUCCGUGAUCCCAGAUGUCACGUAAAACGCUGGAAUCUUUAAAAUUAAACGCAGACGAAAAUCUUGCAUUUGCUGCCUAAUAUGGCAGCUGUCAGCCUCUGACCACCCGCUGUUAGAGAGUCUGGCAUCGAAUUUGCGGGGUCCUCUGUUGCUUAAGCUUUGCGGCAGCAGAAGAUUCAUGAAGCUACCAAAUCACUGAGCCUGUCUCUCGGCGCAGUGAGGAGGGAAUGACAAAAGAGUGACUGUGAUGGAAGAAGCCGUGGUGGAUGGGCUUUCGGACAGGGGUUCGAUUCCCCUCAGCUCCAU
rnacentral:tmRNA from 1 species